CACCCGAUGGCGCAAGGUGUGUGUCUGCUAUUCUUGUACUGUUGCUGAAAUUUAUGUAGAAGUUCCCCGUUCGAUUCGGGGUCGGGUGA